rnacentral:lncRNA from 1 species
CACAUAGCAAAAAUUGCGUUCUCUCUCUCUCUUGUUAUGUAAUUCUCUCCUUCUGUUUGCAACAAAGUCUUCUUUCAUAACCAAUAAAAAAAAAUUCCGUUCUUCUUUCUCCUAUACCAAAUUAAUCCUCCAUCUUGUCUCCGUUUGUGCUGAGCCAUCAUUAACCAUGGUGAGUUAAAGGAUGUGAACAAGUUUUAAUUUUUUAAGCUUUGCAUGUUGAAUAUAAAAUGGUAAGUAAAUAAGAGAUCUAAUAAUUGCACCUUUAUUGAUCCUCAAGUAAAGCAACCCUUUGGAAAUUAUUAUUCAUUCUAUGGAGAUUAUGUGAGAGAAUUAAAUUUCUAAGUUCCAAGAUACGAAUAUACAAAUCGCGUCUUUCUGCAGAUGUAUAUUCAACCGAUAUCAAGAUUUUACCGUGUUAUAAUUAAGUUCACAGAGAAAAGGCAAAGUGUAUUUCCCAAAGGUAGCAACUGAUCCACGGCUUUAAAACUUGCUACUAGUUUAUUUUCAUGCUCUUUUUGAUCGUUAUAUUUGGGGAAAUCUCUGCUUUAAAAACAAAAAAAAAAACUUUAUGGCAGACGACGGGUCAGUACUUUUAAUACUUCUGCAUCAAACAUUUUCAUGUCGAGAAAUACACUUUUGUAAGUAUUGCUCUCUCAGAUUGUUAUAUUAGCACAAAAUCUCUGUUUUAAAUACGUCUUUAUGCAGAUGUAUAUUCAACGGAUAUUAAAGAGGCAGCAUGACUUGAGAGAGUGAGGGAAUUGCAGAUGAGCAUUGGAACUAUUAGUAAGUCGCCUCACAUCACAAAGCUAACGGAGCCAAAGGGAACUAUUUCCAGGAAUCAAACGUAUUCCACUGGAGUCGGAAUUGUGUGAAUUAGAAUCAGAGUUGUCAAAAGAGAUGAACAUACCUAUCUUUUGCUAUCAGAUACAUUGAAUUUUCUCUUCUUUUUUUAAUAAUUCAUUUUGCUGGCAAAAGGAACUAAAUCACAUAUUUUUUUAGCAAAUUUACGCUAGACAGAAUAUGUAGAAGUCUUGCCUCAGAUAAAAUUUUAACUUGAAACAUCAUAUCGAUUUUAUUGAUAUCCAUUAAAACUCACCUUAGGAUCAAAACAUUUGUCAGCAGAAAAUAAAUUAAAUUAAUAAGAAUAAUCUAAAUAGAACGACAUAAAAUGAAACUCUACCUAACAAGUUGUGGGCCUUGUUUAUUUGAAACUGUAAGGUAAUGUCCAAGCAAUUUCUUUGUGACUGACCAAACAAAGAGAGUAGACUUUAUUGUAUUGAAGAUAAAUAAUCGGUCAAAAAAGCAUAUUUUAAUAAAUAUGUACAUUAGUAGAAGUACUUGUGGAGCAAUAAAAUUCGUAGCGGAGUUAUGAGUUUAGCGAAGUGUGUGUAAAUAUUUUUCUUAGUUAUGUUAAGGGUGUAAAAAAUUAAAUAUACACCUGUAAUAAUGGAGUAAUAUUUAAUCUCGUAUAUACCACAUAAUUUUCUAGCGAUAAGUGUGCACUAAACCACCCUUCACCUAAAGUGGCUCCGCCCAUUACAGUAAUUCCAUUUAACUUCUCCUAAAAUUUUAUUUCUUCUCAUUUGGGAUAUUCUUUUUUCUUUGAAGCUUCAGCCGCUUGUACUUUUAGCUGUCCAUUUUGUAGUCCAGAGCAUAAAGGGCAAGUUU